rnacentral:rRNA from 1 species
AACGUAGGAGACAACCGUUAUCCGGAGUUACUGGGCGUAAAGGGCGUGUAGGUGGUUGCGUAAGUCUGGCGUGAAAUUUUUCGGCUUAACCGGGAAAGGUCGUCGGAUACUGCGUAGCUAGAGGACGGUAGAGGCGUGUGGAAUUCCGGGUGUAGUGGUGAAAUGCGUAGAGAUCCGGAGGAACACCAGUGGCGAAGGCGACACGCUGGGCCGUACCUGACACUGAUGCGCGACAGCAUGGGGAGCAAACAGG